GACGAACGCUGGCGGCGUGCUUAACACAUGCAAGUCGAACGGAAAGGCCCUGCUUUUGUGGGGUGCUCGAGUGGCGAACGGGUGAGUAACACGUGAGUAACCUGCCCUUGACUUUGGGAUAACUUCAGGAAACUGGGGCUAAUACCGGAUAGGAGCUCCUGCUGCAUGGUGGGGGUUGGAAAGUUUCGGCGGUUGGGGAUGGACUCGCGGCUUAUCAGCUUGUUGGUGGGGUAGUGGCUUACCAAGGCUUUGACGGGUAGCCGGCCUGAGAGGGUGACCGGCAACAUUGGGACUGAGAUACGGCACAGACUCCUACGGGAGGCAGCAGUGGGGAAUAUUGCACAAUGGGCGGAAGCCUGAUGCAGCAACGCCGCGUGCGGGAUGAAGGCCUUCGGGUUGUAAACCGCUUUCGCCUGUGACGAAGCGUGAGUGACGGUAAUGGGUAAAGAAGCACCGGCUAACUACGUG
rnacentral:rRNA from 1 species